GUCUGGAAGGGCGAGCAGUCUAAGGCGCUGCGUUCAGGUUGCAGUCUCCCCUAGAGGUGUGGGUUUGAAUCCCACUUCGGACC
rnacentral:tRNA from 1 species